UUGUCUAUUUCAAUUUUUUUUUUUUUUUUGACUUUUCAUUCUUCCGUAUCAGUUAUAUUCAAGAUUUAGAUGCAUCUCUUUUCACAUUUGAGUAAUUGGUAAAAAAUACCAUCAUUAUCUAUUAUUGAAGCAAAAAUAUGAUAUCUCUCACCCCAAGCGUCGUGUAUCUUCGGCACCACGACAAGAUAUAAGUAGGUAAAUGACAGGAUAUUUUACCCUAGCACAGCAACUCUUUGUAUGGAGGAGAUACCAACUGUGUCAACCCAUGGGGGCUACCAUCAUUAUCUAUUAAUGGAAUAAAAGGUGAUAUCGCUCACCCCAAACAGCUAGUAUCACCGAUCCUAUGACAAGAUACAAGCAGGUAAAUCAUGGGGGACAUUUUAUCCUUGUGCAAUGACUCUUUACAUAGAGGAGGUCAAACACUCAACGAGGCAUUUUUGGACUCGCUAAGAAUUUACCCCAAGAUCUAUUGGAGUAAACACCCAUGCAGGUGCCAACUGCGCCAACCUGGGGGCACAAUCAUUAUCUAUUAUUAGCAGCAAAAGAUAAAAUUGUUACCUCGUUAGCCCCGUCAAGAUGGAAGGAAGGUAAAUCACAGGGGGCUUCAUCCAACAACAGUAACACACGCAAGGAGUUGAGGUAACCAGCAGGACAUUCCGUACCACUGGGAAUCAACCCCAGACCUAUUGGUAGUAACACCUUUGCAUGAAUCAACUGCACCAGCUCGUGGGGGCUACCAUCAUUAUCUAUUAUGAUGUUAUAUGUGGGGAUGCUCAAUUUAUAUUAGGGGUAUCAACUUAGGUGGGUUGGGUUAAAAAAAAAUUUAUAAAAUUUCCCAACUCAAACUUGAAUCCAAAUACAACCCAAAACCCUUAAACCCGAAUUUGAUCAACCCGAACCUGACCCGAAUAACCUGAUUAAAAAUGACUUUUUUUUCUAUCAUUAUUAUACUAACAUUGAUAUUGAUAUACAUAAAACCUUCUUAAUUUUCAAAAUAAAAUUUGAUUUAAC